GAUGAACGCUGGCGGCGUGCCUAAUACAUGCAAGUCGAGCGGAGAAUUGUUGAUUGCAACAAUUCUUCGCGGCGGACGGGCGAGUAACACGUGGGUAAACUGCCCUAAACAAAGGGAUAACAAUGAUAAAUCAUUGCUAAUACCGUAUAAGCAUACACUAUCGCAUGAUAGAGUAAGAAAAGAGUGAUCGGUUUAGGAGGGGCACGCGUCGGAUCAGCUAGAUGGAGAGGUAACGGGUCACCAAGGCGACGAGCAGGAGCCGACCGGAGAGGGUGAUCGGCCACAUUUGGACUGAGACACGGCCCAAGCGCCUACGGGAGGCAGCAGUGGGGAAUAUUGCACAAAGGAGGAAUCUCUGAUGCAGCAACGCCGCGUGAAGGAAGAAGGUUUUCGGAUCGUAAAAAUCUAUCUACAGGGAAGAAAAAAAUGACGGUACCUGAGUAAGAAGCCCCGGCUAACUACGUG
rnacentral:rRNA from 1 species